GGAGCGGCUUGUCGCUGGCAACAUUGAUUGCUUGAGGAAAGUCCGGGCAACACAGAGCAUCGCAUUUCUUAACGGGAAGCUGGGGGCGACCUCAGGGUUUAAGGUGACAGAAAACAACCGCCAGCCUUCGGGUUGGUAAGGGUGAAAAGGCGGGGUAAGAGCCCACCGGGUGCCACGGCAACGUGGCGCGCCGCACUACCUGCGAGUUGCAAGGCCAAGUACACCGUCAGGGCUGCUCGUCUAUUGGCGGGGGGUAGGCUGCUAUACUGGCGUGGUGACACGUCCAGACAGAUAAAUGACAAGCGGCGGUUCCACGAGCUGGAACCGACCACAUAACCCGGCUUACAGCUCCACUGC
rnacentral:RNase_P_RNA from 1 species